rnacentral:tRNA from 1 species
CGGGGUGUAGCUUAGCUUGGUAGAGCGCCUGCUUUGGGAGCAGGAGGUCGCAGGUUCGAAUCCUGUCACCCCGACCA